rnacentral:rRNA from 1 species
UUGGACAAUGGGCGAAAGCCUGAUCCAGCAAUGCCGCGUGUGUGAAGAAGGCCUUCGGGUUGUAAAGCACUUUUGUCCGGAAAGAAAUCCUUUGGGUUAAUACCUCGGGGGGAUGACGGUACCGGAAGAAUAAGCACCGGCUAACUACGUGCCAGCAGCCGCGGUCAUACGUAGGGUGCAAGCGUUAAUCGGAAUUACUGGGCGUAAAGCGUUCGCAGGCGGUUUUGUAAGACGGAUGUGAAAUCCCCGGGCUUAACCUGGGAACUGCAUUCGUGACUGCAAGGCUAGAGUAUGGCAGAGGGGGGUAGAAUUCCACGUGUAGCAGUGAAAUGCGUAGAGAUGUGGAGGAAUACCGAUGGCGAAGGCAGCCCCCUGGGCAAAUACUGACGCUCAUGCACGAAAGCGUGGGGAGCAAACA